AGAAGAUGCCUGCACACAGCACACACGGGCACCCGCACAUGCUCCCUCAGCUGCCCUGUGUGCCAGGAGGCCCCCCUCGGCAUGGGUGACCUCUGGGCUACCCAGGGAAGUGAGGCACCCCCCACCCCCACCCAUGACAGAGGGGCAGGUGGACUGGGCCGGGGGCUCUUGUCCCUGGUUGAACAGCAGGUCCAACACGACAGCUUUCCCAAGGGGGCCACUGUGCAGGCCUGUGCCCAUGGACCUCCCACAGUCCGAGGGAAAGAUAGGAUCCAAAGCCAUCCGUCACCAGGAGUGAAAACGAGUCUGGGUGCCAAGAAGAAGAUGGAGAGCCACGGGACACCCAAGGACACGUGCAUUCAGGGCCGCGCCACACGUCAGGGCCAGCACGGACCAGCCGCCGUCAAGGCCGAGGCCACGACUGAGGGCAGGCUGGAGCUAAAGCUGAGGCCCGUCGAGCCAAAUGCCUGGCUGGCCGGGCAGACCUCCGGGUGCUGUGCUGUCAUGACAGGCCCCCAGAACAGUUUGGGGCCACCGUGCGGAUCAGGCCUGUUGCUGCCGUGGCCCAUAGCUUUUCCCCUUGGUCACCCGUCACGGUGCACUGCAGGCCAUCAACGCAGGGCGGGACCAGAGACGUGGCCGUGGGUGUGCAUGUGUAUUUGUGUGUUUCAUGAAUUGUUUAUUGUGAUGAAAUAGACACUUUAUAAAAUCGGCGAUUU
rnacentral:lncRNA from 1 species